AUGAGGUUUGGUGAACUGGACAUACCCAAUAUCCUCAGCACUUGCAAGCUCCUGGAUUCUUUGCGUUUAUCCCAUUGUGACUCGGGGAUGAAUUCUUUGCUGCAACUAGAACAUGCUCAACUUACUGAGCUCGAGGUCGACUAUGGGAAAUUUGAGAUAGUUGAGCUGACAUGUCUACCAAAACUCCAACGGGUGAGCUAUAAGAGGUGGUUCUACUCUGAGAAAGAUCCCCUGUAUUUUGGUUUUGUACCACAUCUUUCAAAGCCGAGGCUUGCUAAAUCUGGCUCCCUAUCGACUAGGACUGUUGUGUUAAGUCAGCUCCUUGGUAAUGUUCCUUCCAUAAGCGAUCUGCAUCUGGAUUUUGAAAGUGAAAAGAUUUGGGUUCUGCCAGAAAGCCCGGAGCUGCUCAGACCUGUGCUUAGCAAACUACAGCUUGUGAUUCUGGACAAUCUUCCUGAAGGAUGUGAUUUAGCUUGGACAAUGUUUAUUCUUGAAGCUGCACCAUCCCUAAAAGAGUUGUGCAUCACAGUAUGGGAUCAUUGGUGCAAUAUGUUGAUGAGAGACAAAGAGUUUCGGGAGAGAAAUGGCUACUGUGAAAAGGUGGACGUGGAGUGGAAGCCACAUGCCCCUGAUUUCAAGCAUAAGAAUCUGGUUAAGCUCACCAUCUAUGGCUUCCAACCUGAUGACAUCUUUGUGGGAUUCAUCAGUUGUGUCAUAGAACAUGCGGUCAAUAUGGCGGAGAUAUGUCUGCACGACACGAAGGUAUGUCUGUGCUGUGGUGACGUGGAUCCAAAGGUGAAGUGCGCAUCCAGAUAUCCACGGAACGUUGAUGAGCGCAAGAAGAUCAUUGAAGAAUUGGGGAUUUCUUUGCCUGCUAUGGUUCACUUCCCGUCGUAA
rnacentral:rRNA from 1 species